GCCGCCUCGUACAGGCGGCUCGCGAGUCGAGAGUUCGUCCCGUACAGUACAUAGUCCAGACCCGACCGACAAAAAAAAGUCCAGACCCGACCGGCGCCGCCGCAGCAGCGAGAAGAUCCUCCGACGGCCUCGUCGGCUCGCCGCACCCUCCUCCCCGUCGCCGCGGGUGGCGGCUGCUUCCCAGUGACGAGCGAGCCCUCGCAUCAUCCGCUCCCGGGAGCGUCGCCGCCGUCCUUCCCGGGGACGGUGACUCGCGCAGCGGCGGAGCGGGAGGAGGCACCCGCUGCUCUGGUACUGAUUUGACAGAACACCGGUGGCGGUCAACCACCAUGACGAAAAGAAGCCACACGACCGUCCUUGACAACCUGCCCGAGUAGAUUGUCAUUGAAGAGAUCCUAGUCCGGUUGCCCCCAAAGGACGUCCUUCGCUGCCGCGCUGUCCGCAAGCUGUGGCACAGUGCCACCUCCACCAACAAGUUCGUGCUCGACAAUCAUUGCCGCCAGCCCUCGCUCCCUGUCAUCAGACAGUGUAUCCCUGGGCGGGAAGGAGUCGGGUUCGUUGUCUUCCGUGACAAUGGUGCCAUGGCCUCCAAUCAAAAGCUGUCACCAAUCAUUCGACACUCUAAGUUAACUAAACUCGUGGGUGCCUGUGAUGGCCUUCUUAUCUUGUCCAGCGGAUCUUAUUUCUGGAUCUGCAACCCAACCACUCGCAAAUGUGCUCCACUACCACAACCCCGAGUUCAAUCUUCAUCGCCAUGGGGUUCCGACUUCUACAUAGCCGGAUUCUACCGGCACCAACCAUCUGGGGAAUACCGGGUGCUCUGGUUCUCAUAUGUCUGCCAUCGUGGCUACGUUCUCACGGUAGGAUCUGACAAGCCGAGAAGCAUCAGUCGGCCGUCAGUGUCAUCGCGUUUGCCAAGAUAUAGUUGUCAAGAUGCUUUUGAUUCCUGCUAUAGUUCACAACUCAAUCACCGCGGCAACCUGCACUGGUUAACAGGAAUCUACAUGGAGACUCCUGUGGACAUUAUGGUGUUCGACACAGUAACUGAGACGUUCCGGUGGAUGCGCAGUCCUGACCAGCUGGGCUGUCGUUUGUCGUUGUUGGAGAUGGACGACAAGCUUGCUUCAUGCAGCAGCAGUAAUGCUACCAUAGAGAUUUGGGUUAUGUAAGACUAUGAUGCUGAGGACUGGGCCUUGAAGUACCGGAUUAACUUGUUAGCGAUGAAGACGUCACCACAGUUUGGUUUAAGUGUGAGAUUUAUUUCUAAGAUGGCGCUGCUUAACCAGCGUGAGCUGCUGACCUGUUCGUGUACUGGCCCACAGGGUCCUGACUUUCUGUUGCAUUGUGACAUCGAUGGAAUGUUUUUGGGUUAUGUCGAAAUCAAAGAGGCCAAGCAUCCAGUAUACUUCACUAAUCAGUACAUCCAGGAGAGCCUGAUUCCACUUCCGUUCAGUGAGAUGCAAGAAGAAAGAUUUGUGUAUACGGAGCCUCCAUUGUCCGUAGGGCUAUAAGGUGGUACUUCUAGUUUACCAUGUAUACCUUCGGAGUGUCCAUCCUUUAUGAGCAUGAUCCUAGUCCUUACUUCAUAGUACUAGUAGAACUGAACAAUUUAUAUGGCUUUGCUAUCACUUGGUGCCUUUUGUGCUGCCUUGAGCGUCAUCGUGAUGUGUGGGAGUAUA